AAGUCGCUUCCUGUCGCAGUAGCCAGUAGAGAGAGAACGAGAGGCGGAGGACAGGGGGAGGCACGGACCACCAGCCUCUUCCCGACCCUGCUCUUCAGAGACGCAGAGUGUUUUGGAUAUGAGAAGCAAAGGCUUUCUCUUCCUUCCUCUUGGAGGAAGCUGCAGAGACUGGAGACCCCGUGUUCCGCUGUCCUCCCUCUCCACCCCACAGCAGGAAGAAGCAGCGAAACAGGAGUGGGAAAAGGAUCCGGCUGUGGCCGCCAAGGACUCCUGAGGGUGAAGCUGUGUGAAGCACCUACUCAGAGUCUCCACUUCCCUUUCCACAAAGGCAGAGUCAACCUCUCUGGGGUUCUGGGAUGUGAAAGGCAAGGAUGCGUCUGAAAUCAUCUUCACAGGGUCUAGGACACAGAAUUUCCAGAAGCCUGUCCCUUUCCUACCUCU
rnacentral:lncRNA from 1 species